rnacentral:lncRNA from 1 species
AAUAUGCAUAUUAUUUUAGUAACUAUGACUUUAAACAAUGGAAGCUGCAUUUUCAUUAUUGUUCACACCCAAAACCGGUCGGUCAAUAUUCAAACAUUCAUAUAGGUAUAAUGAAUGAAUUGGAGAAUUUUAGUCCAACUAAUGAACUCAACUUGUUCAUCCAAAUAUUAUCCUGCACGUAGACAUUAAUAUUCCUUGACAAUAAAGUUGUAGUAUUAAUCCUGUUUAGCAUAUCAAUUCCUAGCUCCCAAUUUUGACUAAUAUCAAUCCAUUAACCAGUUUGUUUAAACGGUAAACUCACAAUACAAGAAAAAGUUUUGAAUUUUCACCUCAAAAGCGUUUGCACUUUCUGGCAUUGUAACAGGACUUCCUUCCUUCUAUACUAGGAUUAUAGUCAGUAAGUGGUUCGUUUCUAUACUAAAUAAGUAAAAUAAGUGGAAUUAUUUAUGUGGAGCCAACCUAACCCUGCCUGUUAAAAGAUCUGCAUCAGGACAAGUUAUAUGACACGGUAAUUACGCACUUGUAAUCUUAAGACAAUGCUGCUCGAGAUUAUGAUCGCAAAUGAGCAAGAGAGCAAUAGUAAAUUGAUCUCUGUUUACCUUGUUUGUAGAAUCUGUGAAUAGUACAGAGAUUAACGUAAUAUAUACAUAUACACACAGAGAGAGAAGGAAAUAUUAUCGUUUGUACCUGUUUUUGUCAUUAAAAAUUACUAUAGUUUCUGUUCUAGAUAGCCAUUCAUAACUUUCCUAAAGUAAACCACAACUUGUCAUUUAACACUAACUAUGGAAUUAAAUGUAAAAUUACGAGCGAGUCAAAGCCUGAAAUGUACAUUGCACGACAUAGCGAUUAAGGUUUAUACUACUAAUAGAACCAGGCCAUAUUGUAUUCCCAAAUAGGAUUAGAAAGCGAUAACCCAUUAAAAACUAAGGAAAACAUAAUGGAAAAAAUUUAAACAAUAUACAUAUAGAGGGAAAGCAAUCCCUAAUCUCCCAUCGCCGUUCCACCUCUACUGCUACAAUCAUGAGAAUCAGGAAGAAUGCCAACCAGGCUGGUCUCAAGUUGGCCAACACCUUAAGCUCCACUUAUCUCUCAAAUCCUCACACACUCAUACAACCUCACAUUUGCCAAUUGAAUCAGUCUCCUUGGGAUGGCAUUUUGUUCCCUCCCGAUUCAGCUUCAUCUCCAUACCAGGUUUAUCCUCCUCUUUUUACUCUCUCUGCACUUACGGAUCUACAGGAGCCAACGGAGGUUCCACGGAAAAUGCAUGUUACCUGGAUUUUCAAUACUAUAGUUUUCUUGCAAACCUGACCAUUACUGUUCACAAAAGCCCUAAAUCCAACAAUUUCAAUUGUAUUUAUUGUUUUCCUCUAUGACCAACUAUAUAGAGUAUUAUUAUCUGAUUUGGUUAAGUGAUUGUCUGUGCAAUUGGAUUUAAAUGAUAGUUUUGUGCGAAAUAGGAGCUUUGAAAGAUAUCUUUUUGGAAUGAAAAAGCCUAAGUUUAAUGAUUUCCAUUAUGUUUCUACAUUUAAUAAAGUGGUGACGAAACGUCUAAUUUGUACAAAUCUUUCCAUUUUUCAAGUCGAUCCGAUCCGUUCGUAGAGCUAUUUACUUGAUCAAAUACAUUUCUGGAAAAACACCUCUAAGGG